UUCAAGUUCUGUUCCUAAAUUCAUGAGCAACCGCCUACCCCCCUCAAAAAAAGAUCCACUCCUACCGUUGCUUGAUGGUCAUCAUCUGAUUUAAGCUAGUACGAGGCAGUAAUGGUAGAUGAAGGCUGGUGGUUCUUAUGUUGCAAAUAAACCAAAAAAAAAAGUGUUUUGGGCUAAUUAUAGGGAAGUCCCUAGCUUUAACCAAAAGUAAAAAAAAAAUGCC
rnacentral:lncRNA from 1 species